AUGCAUCGUUGCCUCGGUAACCGCGUCGCAAUUGCCGAAGAUGGCGGGGCGCGGUCUUGGUUUCAGAGUCGGUUCAACUCCAGGCUCCUGGGGAGGUCUGGGCUCUGGCGACUAGGACACCUAAGCUCCCUUAUCUUCAGGUCUGAAACUCUCUGCCUCUUUUACAGAGAAGCAGCGUUCCAGGGACUCAGCUCCCGCCACCACUUCAGCAACCCUCUGCACCCGGACACGACCUCCUCGCUUUGGAGGAAGAAUAUAACUCCUGGACCCCUCCAUCCUCACUUCCAUCGCUGUUUUCCUGAGCCUUCUCCCUCUGAAUUUCAUCAUCACCAAGAAGAGGAAUUAUCAACAGGUUCGGCUUUGGGGAAAGGGAUAGACCAGGCAGGAAGUAGGGAGGAAGACACAAGCCCUGGUGUGGGUGAUGGGGAGGGAAGAGCUGAGUGGGAGCCAGUGGGUCUGGCUCUGUUCUUGUCUCUGUGCGUUGCCCAUUGUGCAUACCUGCGCCACUCCUUCCCCAUCGCAAUGGAUGGUGGCUCCUUCCUCCAGUGUUCAGGCCCUAGGCCCUGGGUCAGAUCAAUGUAUUUUUCUCUUUAAUCCCAUCAGUCAGCAGAUUUGCUUGGCGUCACCUUGAAAAUGCAUCCAGCAGCAAGGCCCUGGCUCACUCCCUACUUCUGCCCCCAGCCUCUUUCCAUUCCCAGCCACAGGAGACCUGUGUAAGCAGAAUCCAUUGCACCUUCCUUUGCUCAGACCCACAGUGGCCCCAUUUUCCUCGGUCUGAGCCAUAGGCUCCACAGUGGCCCACCAGGCCCGUCCUGACCUGCCUCAAUUCCUCCAGCCUCAACUUCCACCCAUCUCCCUCCCUUCCCCACUGACCCCUUUUCCCCAUCCUCACAUCUGUCUGAUGUUCACACAUCUCUCCAAGCAUCUGCUUUAGCUGUUCCUUCUGCCUGGACCACCCUCACUCUAGAAGACCGUUGUCACCUCCAGCACCCCCUGCAGUCAGGGCAGCCUCCCUCACCAAUGUCUAGCAAGGAUAUGGCCUGCCCAUUUCUCUCCUCUCAGCAGCUCUCUUCCUUGGCUUGUCCUGGGUUCAUUUUUGCUUUUCCUCAGCACUUCGCUCUUCCUAAAGUUGUCCCAAUGUCCAUCUGUCACUUGGACUGUUUCUCCAGCCUCCUGCAUGGAAGCGCCUGGCAGGGGCUGAUGGCCUUACUCUCCUUAGACUGGAAGCUCCACAGCAGCACGGGCCACUCACUGUGGCAGACUCAGUAUCUAGUUAGUGCUCAGCAUCCAGAAGGUGCUGGAUAAGUGUUUGAGAACUUAAGAAAGGAGGGAAGGGAGAAGGGAAGGAGAGAGCAAGGGAAGAAGGAAGGGAGGGGAGAAAGGAGGGAGGGAAGGAAAGAUAGGAAAGGGGAGGACAGAUGGAGUGAAGGAUAGAGUUGAAAGAGGAAGAGAAGGAAUGAGGGAGGGAAUGAAGAAAGGGAGGAGAGAGAGAAGAAAGAAAGGGCAGGAGAGUGGAAGAAAGGAGUAGAGAAGAAAGAAAGGCGGGAGAGAGGGAGGGAGGGAAGGCAGAUGGAGGGAGGGAACUUAUUUCCUCUCUAGGCCCAGCUGUCCCAAUGUCCAUCUGUCACUUGGACUGUUUCUCCAGCCUCCUGCAUGGCCUCCUCCGGGCACAGUGGCUCAUGCCUGUAAUCCCAGCACUUUGGGAGGUGGAGGCAGGUGGAUCACCUGAGGUCAGUUCAAAACCAGCCUGGCCAACAUGGCAAAAUGCUAUCUCUAUUAAAAAGUAUAAAGAUUAGCUGAGCAUGGUGGCAGGCGCCUAUAAUCCCAGCUACUCCAGAAUCUCAGGUAGGAGAAUCACUUGAACACGGGAGGCAGAGGUUACAGUGAGCCGAGAUUGUGCCACUGCACUCCAGCCUGGUAACAGAGCAAGACUCCAUCUCAAAAAAAUAGCAAAAAACCUCCAGGUACCUGCUUUCUGAUGAUGUCCCCCUCCCCCGGUGAAGCACGGGAGACCCCAAACUCCUGCCUGACACUAAAGUGCCAAGUGACCCUGCCCACACUCUCUUCUGACCAUACUGAGUGUCCUCUGAGUCAUGCUGUUCCCUGUGCCUGGGUUUUUGCUGCCCCCUGUCUCAAAGCCUCCCCUUUCAAUUCUUAGCUCCAUCCCCCAAUCCUCUGCCUGCCCAGUACCCACUUCCUGGUCAUUUAACGUGUAGCUCAGGCUGUAAUCCCAGCCCUUUAGGAGGCUGAGGGCAGAGGAUCACUUGAGCCCAAGAGCUUGAGGCCAGCCCGGGCUACAUAUUGAGACCCUUCCCAACUCCACCAAAAAUGUAAAAGGAAGAAAAAAAGAUGUAGCUCAGGCAUUACCCACCUCCAGGUAGCCUUCCUGAUGGUGCCAUACCCAGGUGGGCUCAGGGGCACCCUCUGUUCUCCAGACAUCAGAAGCUGCCUCCCCAGGGCAAUUGUCCCAGGUCAGCUCCUGUAGGAGCCCAGGCACAGGAUAACGGUGGAUGGAUCAGGACUGAGGGUCAGAGAUGUGGAGAGGUAGACAGCUUUGGGACGCAGUUGGUGAGAUCAGUGGAAUUUGCUGCAGGGUGGCUGUUAGGGUGCAGGGGAGAAUUCUGGACCAGCCCUGUCUUCAUCUCUCUCUUCCCUCCAAUCCCAGGAGAGCAAAUGAGGCAGAAGGACUCG
rnacentral:lncRNA from 1 species